AUGGGCCGGGUCAGAAGCCCGCCCGCCAGCUGCUGGAGCCGCGACCAUGGAGGAGUCUGGCAUGUCUCAUGAAUCAGCAGAGGACUUGUUUCAUUUCAACGUAGGGGGCUGGCAUUUCUCAGUUCCCAGAAGCAAACUCUCUCAGUUUCCAGACUCCCUGCUGUGGAAAGAGGCUUCAGCCUUGACCUCUUCAGAAAGCCAGAGGCUAUUUAUCGACAGAGAUGGUUCCACAUUUAGGCACGUGCACUAUUACCUCUACACCUCCAAACUCUCCUUCUCCAGUUGUGCAGAACUGAACUUGCUGUAUGAGCAAGCAUUGGGUUUGCAGCUGAUGCCUUUGCUGCAGACUCUAGAUAACCUGAAGGAAGGGAAACACCAUCUACGCGUGCGGCCUGCAGACAUACCUGUUGCUGAGAGAGCAUCUCUGAACUACUGGCGUACGUGGAAGUGUAUUAGCAAACCCUCAGAGUUUCCAAUCAAAAGCCCCGCCUUCACAGGCCUACAUGAUAAGGCACCUCUGGGGCUCAUGGACACACCCCUGUUAGACACAGAAGAGGAGGUGCACUACUGCUUCCUGCCCCUAGACCUGGUGGCCAAAUAUCCCAGCCUAGUGACUGAAGACAACCUGCUGUGGCUGGCUGAGACGGUGGCCCUCAUCGAGUGCGAGUGCAGCGAGUUCCGCUUCAUUGGUGAUUGCUCUGUCCAGGGGUUGGGUGGGGGGUGGGCUGUUAGGACCCAUUCACCCCUCCCCAUCACAUGUCCCACAGAGGCCCAGCUUGGUGCUCAGGGCCUCAGGAGCUUCCCUGGGUAGAGGUGGCGGAAGUAUGACAGAGCCUUCCAGGAAGCAAGCAGAUUCCAGCAUUAGAAUCUCGCUAGACUCACGGCUAUUUUAUUCACUAUUUGUUUUGGGGUGGCCUGGCUGUAAAAGUGUCAGGCACUGGAAAGUGUCAGGGACCACAGGAGUUGGUGUGACGGGCAGGGAGCUCAGCUGGUUGCCAGUCGGCUUCUCUUCUUACUCUGCCCUUAUGUAUCCAACUGGCCUUCAGGCCUCAGUUCCUCUCACCAUAAAAUGAGGAAUCCAGAUUGUUUCAAAGAAUGGUGCUAGCUGCUCUUAAUGUCAGCAAACUCAGAAUAAAAGGGAAGGAGGGUGGAUGGUGACAGGUUCCCCCAGAGUCAUAGCAGAAUUGUCCACUUGAAGUAGUGACCUAAGGAAGGAUGAGAUUUUCCACCUUUGACAGAGAGAGCCUCUCUCCCCCUACUGCCCUAGGAUGAGCUCUGUUUGGGAUGUGAACUGAAUGAUCUCUUUGACCCCAAGAUGCUACUGCUGUCUAGAUAGAUAGGGCAGCAAACACUCAAGUUACACUAGGAGCCCAAAUGUCUGGAACCCCAGUCAUUCAUAUUCAUAGUCACCUAGAAAGUUGUCUGUGAUGUGCUUCUGUAUCUUUAAGUUGAUUCACACAGGACAUUAGCGUUGGCUCCAUCUCUGCCUCCCAUACUGCAGUCCAGGCAGGGACAAACUGCAAGUGCCACCCACCAGCCCAGGCUCGGCCGGGCCCCUCCUCUCUAAGCAGCAAGACAACUCCCUCUUUUGGAAUGACCUGCUCUUGGGUCAAGACUCACAGGGUAAGUCUCAGGGCCAGUGUGCCCACCAGGAGGGCCUGGCUUGGGAGCCCCAGGCCAUGCCACGGGAGGCCACACCCACGGCCUCAGACACAGGAAAACAAAGUAAUGUGGGGUCUUUCACCUUGAAAACCACACACUCAAAGCUAAUCUAAUAAGGUAUGUUGAUAAGUUGUUUCAGAACAAGGAGAACCUAGGAUAAGUUACAGCACCAGAAACCUGCCAAAACCAGGACCUACAGUUAAACCAGAAAUAGCCUCAUUAACUCACUGUGUUCCCCUUUGUUUUCCAAGUGAAUUUUCUUCGCUCACAGAAGAUUUUACUACCGGAUAAUUUCUCCAACAUUGAUGUAUUAGAAGCAGAAGUGGAAAUUCUGGAAAUCCCUGCACUCACUGAAGCUGUAAGGUGGUACCGGAUGAACAUGGGUGGCUGUUCCCGGACCACCUGUUCUCCCCUGAGCCCCGGGAAGGGGGCCCGCACAGCCAGCCUGGAGUCCAUGAAACCGCUCUACACAAUGGCCCUGGGUCUGCUGGUCAAGUACCCGGACUCUGCGCUGGGCCAGCUUCGCAUCGAGAGCACGCUAGACGGAAGCCGACUGUACAUCACAGGGAACGGCGUCCUCUUUCAGCACGUCAAGAACUGGCUGGGGACUUGCCGGCUGCCCCUGACAGAGACCAUUUCCGAGGUAUAUGAGCUCUGUGCCUUCCUAGACAAAAGGGACAUCACCUACGAGCCAAUGAAAGUGGCUUUGAAGACUCAUCUGGAGCCAAGGACUUUGGCACCCAUGGAUGUGCUCAAUGAGUGGACAGCAGAGAUCACCGUGUAUUCCCCACAACAGAUCAUCAAAGUGUAUGUUGGAAGCCACUGGUAUGCAACCACCCUGCAGACACUGCUGAAGUAUCCAGAACUGCUGUCCAACCCUCAGAGAGUGUACUGGAUCAGAUAUGGACAAACCCUGCUCAUCCACGGGGAUGGCCAGAUGUUCCGACACAUUCUCAACUUCCUGAGACUUGGCAAACUGUUUUUACCAUCUGAAUUUAAGGAAUGGCCCCUCUUCUGCCAGGAGGUGGAGGAAUACCACAUUCCAUCCCUCUCAGAAGCCCUUGCACAAUGUGAAGGAUACAAGUCAUGGACUCAGGAGAAAGAAUCUGAAAAUGAAGAAGCUUUUCCCAUCAGGAGGCUGCACGUGGUGACAGAAGGGCCAGGGUCACUGGUGGAGUUCAGUAGAGACACUAAAGAAACCACAGCCUACAUGCCUGUGGGCUUCGAAGACUGCAGUGAUAGGACUCCAUGGAACAAGGCUAAGGGAAACCUGGCCAGGUCCAACCAGAUGGAGGAGGCUGAGCAGUACACUCGGCCCAUCCAGGUGUCCCUAUGCCGAAAUGCCAAGAGAGCUGGCAACCCUAGCACAUACUCACACUGCCCUGGCUUGUGUACCAAUCCUGGACACUGGGGGAGCCACCCUGAGAGCCCCCCAAAGAAGAAAUGCACCACAAUCAACCUCACACAGAAAUCUGAAACCAAAGACCCUCCCGCCACUCCCAUGCAAAAACUCAUCUCCCUGGUGAGAGAAUGGGACAUGGUCAGUUGCAAACAGUGGGAAUUCCAGCCACUGACAGCCUCCCGGAGCAGCCCUUUGGAGGAGGCCACCCUGCAGCUCCCCUUGGGAAGCGAGGCUGCUUCCCAGCCUAGCACCUCAGCUGCCUGGAAAGCCCAUUCCACAGCCUCAGAGAAGGAUCCAGGACCACAGGCAGGGGCUGGAGCUGGAGUGAAAGACAAGGGGCCAGAGCCAACCUUCAAGCCAUACUUCCCCCCAAAAAGAGCCAGCACCCUGAAGGACUGGAGCAAGCAGAGGACCAAGGAGAGAGAAAGCCCUGCCCCUGAGCAGCCUCUGCCCGAGGCCAGUGAGGUGGACAGCCUAGGGGUUAUCCUCAAAGUGACUCACCCCCCCGUGGUGGGCAGCGAUGGCUUCUGCAUGUUCUUUGAGGACAGCAUCAUCUACACCACGCAGAUGGACAACCUCAGGCACACACCACCCACAGCCAGUCCCCAGCCCCAAGAAGUGACUUUCCUGAGUUUCUCUCUGUCCUGGGAAGAGAUGUUUUAUGCGCAGAAAUGUCACGGCUUCCUGGCUGACAUCAUCCUGGAUUCCAUCAGGCAAAAGGACCCCAAAGCCAUCACAGCCAAGGUGGUCUCCCUGGCCAAUCGGCUGUGGACCCUGCACAUCAGCCCCAAGCAGUUUGUGGUAGAUUUGCUGGCCAUCACUGGCUUCAAGGACGACCGGCACACCCAGGAGUGCCUGUACAGCUGGGUGGAGCUUACACUGCCCUUCGCCAAGAAAUAUGGCCACUGCAUGGACCUGCUCAUCCAGAGGGGCCUGUCUAGGUCUGUCUCGUACUUCAUCCUGGGAAAGUACCUACAAGAGGACUAGGGUGCCCAGAGAUGCAGCCCCUCGUGCCCCACCCGCCAAGUCUCAUUUUAAUUGAAGAUAGCCCCAGAAUGCAUGUGCCCAUCAGAGGGUACAUAUCAGUCUAUUUUUUAUUAUAAACAAAUAAAAGAUUAAAUCAC
rnacentral:sRNA from 1 species